rfam:Byssochlamys spectabilis No. 5 DNA, contig: PVAR5_00006_2.
GAGGAGUGGGACGACCUAGCUCAGAAUCCAUUUCUUGCCUUUUACCAGAGAUGGCCGUGGGUCGCCCACAAAACUCGUCUACAGCAAUCUUUGGAAUCCUACUGUCGACACAGCAGU